rnacentral:rRNA from 1 species
GUCCACGCCCUAAACGAUGUCAACUAGGUGUUGGGUGGGUAAAACCAUUUAGUACCGUAGCUAACGCGUGAAGUUGACCGCCUGGGGAGUACGGCCGCAAGGUUAAAACUCAAAGGAAUUGACGGGGACCCGCACAAGCGGUGGAUGAUGUGGAUUAAUUCGAUGCAACGCGAAAAACCUUACCUACCCUUGACAUGUCAAGAACUUGCCAGAGAUGGCUUGGUGCCCGAAAGGGAGCUUGAACACAGGUGCUGCAUGGCUGUCGU